rnacentral:rRNA from 1 species
UACGUAGGGUGCGAGCGUUGUCCGGAUUUAUUGGGCGUAAAGAGCUCGUAGGCGGUUUGUCGCGUCGGCCGUGAAAUCUCCACGCUUAACGUGGAGCGUGCGGUCGAUACGGGCAGACUAGAGUUCGGCAGGGGAGACUGGAAUUCCUGGUGUAGCGGUGAAAUGCGCAGAUAUCAGGAGGAACACCGGUGGCGAAGGCGGGUCUCUGGGCCGAAACUGACGCUGAGGAGCGAAAGCGUGGGGAGCAAACAGG